rnacentral:rRNA from 1 species
GACGUAGGGGGCAAGCGUUGUUCGGAAUUAUUGGGCGUAAAGCGCUCGUAGGCGGGAUUGGAAGUCCGUGUUGAAAGACCUCGGCUCAACUGAGGGACCGGCUCGGAUACUCUAAUUCUUGAGGCAAUCAGAGGAUGAUGGAAUUCCCGGUGUAGCGGUGAAAUGCGUAGAUAUCAAGAGGAACACCUGAGGUGAAGACGGGUUGCUGGGCCGACACUGACGCUGAGUGCGCGAAAGCCAGGGGAGCAAACGGG